CUUGACAUUACUCGUGUGGUAUUUUGAAAACUGUCGACACUUUUAAACUGCAUCGAAUCAUCAACAUCCAGGAUUGCUUUUAGCAGAGCUUUUUUGGGGAGCCUUAAAAACAGUGUUAUCGGUGACGCAUACUACGCCUGAACCCACGCAGGUGGUGCUCCAGAGGAUUUAAUUUUCUGCGAUUUCCGAUACUUGAUUCUGAAUCAAUCCAAUAGAGAAAGCGAUGAUAAAAAGAAGAUGACGUCUGUCAGAGGUACAAAGAGAGAAUAUUUGGUUGCGCAAUCAAGACGUCCGAAAUUGUAUCGGUCAAUUUGGAGCUCUUAAAAUUCUUUUCAGAUCUCACGAUACAACAUGAGGAGGUGUCUGGAUUUGAUCGUCAUCCUUCUCGUAGCUUCAUCUCUGACGUCAUUCAUAACGGGGGCUCCAUGGAUGAUCCCUGUUGUCAGCGGCUCGAACUAUGAACAUACAGCACACGCAGAUGACACCUCACACGCAAUGAAUUACAAAUAUGAUAUGGGAAAUGGGGAUAAAAAUGUUCACAUAAAUAACAAUGUCAAGAUAGAAAUUCACAAGUAUCAAACAGUGCCUGGUUCAGGAGGAUAUCCGCCUGGUUCGGGGGGAUAUCCGCCUAGCCCAGUUGGCUAAAGUACUUACAUGAACCCAAAAACAUUAUGGAUACUUGCAUGUACAAUAGAUUACACUUGUGACCGUCUACGGGGUAAAAUCCUCAAAAAUUCAAAAAUUGGUAAUUAAAUGCAACUCGUAUGAUGGGA